AUUGAACGCUAACGGCAUGCUUAACACAUGCAAGUCGAACGGCAGCAUAGCAGUAGCAAUACUGUGGGUGGCGAGUGGCGGACGGGUGAGUAAUGUAUAGGAAUCUGCCUUGUAGUGGGGGAUAACCUGGGGAAACUCGGGCUAAUACCGCAUAAUCUUUACGAAGCAAAGCGGGGGAUCGUAAGACCUUGCGCUAUAAGAUGAGCCUAUAUUGGAUUAGCUAGUUGGUGGGGUAAAGGCCUACCAAGGCGACGAUCCAUAGCUGGUCUGAGAGGAUGAUCAGCCACACUGGGACUGAGACACGGCCCAGACUCCUACGGGAGGCAGCAGUGGGGAAUAUUGGACAAUGGGGGAAACCCUGAUCCAGCAAUGCCGUGUGUGCGAAGAAGGCCUUCGGGUUGUAAAGCACUUUUAGUGGGAAAGAAAAGCUCAAAGCUAAUAACUUUGAGCCUUGACGUUACCCACAGAAAAAGCACUGGCUAACUCUGUGCCAGCCGCCGCCGUAA
rnacentral:rRNA from 1 species